rnacentral:rRNA from 1 species
GACGAACGCUGGCGGCGUGCCUAAUACAUGCAAGUCGAACGAGAGCGACCGGUGCUUGCACUGGUCAAUCUAGUGGCGAACGGGUGAGUAACACGUGGGUAACCUGCCCAUCAGAGGGGGAUAACAUUCGGAAACGGAUGCUAAAACCGCAUAGGUCUUCGAACCGCAUGGCUUGAAGAGGAAAAGAGGCGCAAGCUUCUGCUGAUGGAUGGACCCGCGGUGCAUUAGCUAGUUGGUGAGGUAACGGCUCACCAAGGCCGUGAUGCAUAGCCGACCUGAGAGGGUGAUCGGCCACAUUGGGACUGAGACACGGCCCAAACUCCUACGGGAGGCAGCAGUAGGGAAUCUUCCGCAAUGGACGCAAGUCUGACGGAGCAACGCCGCGUGAGUGAAGAAGGUUUUCGGAUCGUAAAACUCUGUUGUUAGAGAAGAAUAAGUGCUAGAGUAACUGUUAGCGCCUUGACGGUAUCUAACCAGAAAGCCACGGCUAACUACGUG